GAAACAACAUUACUAAUAUUCUGUGGCUUUGAAAAUAAAUAAAUAAAGACAUUCAUUUUGCCUAAAGCUUUUGCUUUUACGGAGAACAUCUGUCAAAGCAGGCCCUUUCAAAACUUGUUUGGCUUUGCCUAAGUGAUUUAUUUGGUAAAGUAUUUGCUGAAGGGCUCCAGAUGCUUUGAAAAAUAUUCUGCAACUUAGCAUGCAGAAAGCGUAUUUCCCCUACUAAUUAAUUGGCAUAGUUUAAAUUAGUCUUGACAUGAAUUUAGAGAUUAUCUACUUAAACCUCCUAAAGCAUCUUGCCCCCUUUCUUAAAGUUGAACACAGAGACUGUUUUCACUAGCCAUUCAUAUUAUGUUGAUUAUUUUAUAUAGCAGUCAAAAAGCAAAGUUGGCCACUUGAGUUUAGCAUAUACAGUGCUUUAGU
rnacentral:lncRNA from 1 species